AUUGAACGCUGGCGGCAGGCCUAACACAUGCAAGUCGAACGGUAACAGGAAGAAGCUUGCUUCUUUGCUGACGAGUGGCGGACGGGUGAGUAAUGUCUGGGACACUGCCUGAUGGAGGGGGAUAACUACUGGAAACGGUAGCUAAUACCGCAUAACGUCGCAAGACCAAAGAGGGGGACCUUCGGGCCUCUUGCCAUCGGAUGUGCCCAGAUGGGAUUAGCUUGUAGGUGGGGUAACGGCUCACCUCGGCGACGAUCCCUAGCUGGUCUGAGAGGAUGAUCAGCCACACUGGAACUGAGACACGGUCCAGACUCCUACGGGAGGCAGCAGUGGGGAAUGUUGCACAAUGGGCGCGAGCCUGAUGCAGCCAUGCCGCGUGUAUGAAGAAGGCCUUCGGGUUGUGAAGUACUUUCGGCGGGGAGGAAGGGAGUAAAGUUAAUACCUUUGCUCAUUGACGUUACCCGCAGAAGAAGCACCGGCUAACUCCGUG
rnacentral:rRNA from 1 species